rnacentral:rRNA from 1 species
AGCGAACGCUGGCGGCAGGCCUAACACAUGCAAGUCGAACGAACUCUUCGGAGUUAGUGGCGGACGGGUGAGUAACACGUGGGAACGUGCCUUUUGGUUCGGAAUAACUCAGGGAAACUUGUGCUAAUACCGAAUGUGCCCUUCGGGGGAAAGAUUUAUCGCCAUUAGAGCGGCCCGCGUCUGAUUAGCUAGUUGGUGAGGUAACGGCUCACCCAGGCGACGAUCAGUAGCUGGUCUGAGAGGAUGACCAGCCACACUGGGACUGAGACACGGCCCAGACUCCUACGGGAGGCAGCAGUGGGGAAUCUUGCGCAAUGGGCGAAAGACUGACGCAGCCAUGCCGCGUGAAUGAUGAAGGUCUUAGGAUUGUAAAAUUCUUUCACCGGGGACGAUAAUGACGGUACCCGGAGAAGAAGCCCCGGCUAACUUCGUG